rnacentral:lncRNA from 1 species
UUUUAUUAAACCAAUCAUAGGCCCUUGUCGGGCAAGAUACAAAAACAUCAUACAAUGAUUAUAUAAACAUUAGUGAAAUACACAAUAUUAUAAGUAAUACACAAAUAAUAAAUUGAUAAUAUGAGCAAUGUAGGAUAUAAUUAAGGUAAGAGGCAUUGAGUGCAAUGAGGUCGAUUUAAUAUUAAAAGAAUAUGAUAUAAAGUUUAUUAAUACGGAAACAAAAAGUAAAAAUAGAACCAGGAAUAUAGUAUCUCAUUCUGCAGUAGUUCUCCUCAUGACAAGUGCAUAGCAGUGAGGGACUUUUACAUCACAACAAUGCAAAGGUCAUCAAGGGGAGAUCCUUCAGAACUAGUUACAGAUACAUGAGAUUACUCCAAUAGUGAU